GUAUUUAUUAGAUAAAAAACCAAUGCCCUCCGGGGCUUUUUGGUGAUUCAUGAUAACUUCUCAGAUCGCAUGGCCUUGCGCCGGCGACGGUUCAUUCAAAUUUCUGCCCUAUCAACUUUCGAUGGUAAGNUAUUGGCUUACCAUGGUUUCAACGGGUAACGGGGAAUUAGGGUUCGAUUCCGGAGAGGGAGCNUGAGAAACGGCUACCACAUCCAAGGAAGGCAGCAGGCGCGCAAAUUACCCAAUCCCGACGCGGGGAGGUAGUGACAAUAAAUACUGAUACAGGGCUCUUUUGGGUCUUGUAAUUGGAAUGAGUACAAUUUAAACCUCUUAACGAGGAACAAUUGGAGGGCAAGUCUGGUGCCAGCAGCCGCGGUAAUUCCAGCUCCAAUAGCGUAUAUUAAAGUUGUUGCAGUUAAAAAGCUCGUAGUUGAACCUUUGGCCUGGCUGGCAGGUCCGCCUCACCGCGUGCACUUGACCGGCCGGGCCUUUUCUUCUGGAGAACCGCAUGCCCUUCACUGGGUGUGUUGGGGACCAGGACUUUUACUUUGAAAAAAUUAGAGUGUUCAAAGCAGGCCUUUGCUCGAAUACGUUAGCAUGGAAUAAUAGAAUAGGACGCGCGGUCCUAUUUUGUUGGUUUCUAGGACCGCCGUAAUGAUUAAUAGGGACAGUCGGGGGCAUCAGUAUUCAAUUGUCAGAGGUGAAAUUCUUGGAUUUAUUGAAGACUAACUACUGCGAAAGCAUUUGCCAAGGAUGUUUUCAUUAAUCAGUGAACGAAAGUUAGGGGAUCGAAGACGAUCAGAUACCGUCGUAGUCUUAACCAUAAACUAUGCCGACUAGGGAUCGGGCGGUGUUUUUAUUUUGACUCGCUCGGCACCUUA
rnacentral:rRNA from 1 species